AAUAGAUACCCCGGUAGUCCAUGCCGUAAACGUUGGGCACUAGGUGUGGGGCCAGUUCCACUGGUUCUGUGCCGUAGCUAACGCAUUAAGUGCCCCGCCUGGGGAGUACGGCCACAAGGCUAAAACUCAAAGGAAUUGACGGGGGCCCGCACAAGCGGCGGAGCAUGCGGAUUAAUUCGAUGCAACGCGAAGAACCUUACCAAGGCUUGACAUGUACGAGAAAGCCCCAGAGAUGGGGUUCUCUUUGGACACUCGUACACAGGUGGUGCAUGGUUGUCGUCAGCUCGUGUCGUGAGAUGUUGGGUUAAGUCCCGCAACGAGCGCAACCCUUGUCUCAUGUUGCCAGCGGGUUAUGCCGGGGACUCAUGGGAGACUGCCGGGGUCAACUCGGAGGAAGGUGGGGAUGACGUCAAAUCAUCAUGCCCCUUAUGUCUUGGGCUUCACGCAUGCUACAAUGGCCGGUACAGAGGGCUGCGAUACCGUGAGGUGGAGCGAAUCCCAAAAAGCCGGUCUCAGUUCGGAUCGGGGU
rnacentral:rRNA from 1 species